UCGAGAAUCUUUCACAAUGGGGGCAACCCUGAUGGAGCGACGCCGCGUGGAGGAUAAGGUCUUCGGAUUGUAAACUCCUGUCAUGUGUGAACAAGGUUGUCGUGUUAAUAGCAUGGCAAAUUGAUGGUAACACAAGAGGAAGAGACGGCUAACUCUGUGCCAGCAGCCGCGGUAAUACAGAGGUCUCAAGCGUUGUUCGGAAUCACUGGGCGUAAAGGGUGCGUAGGUGGGUGUUCAAGUCUGCUGUUA
rnacentral:rRNA from 1 species